rnacentral:misc_RNA from 1 species
AUUGAAGUGGUCUCUUCUCUUGUUCUUUGCUCUUAGCUCCUUUUCAGAUUUUGUAGCAUCCAUAGUUAGAAAUCAGGAGUUACUGAUUCCUAUUGGCCUCUUUAUUGGUGUCUUAUUGACUGACCUUCUAAAAGAGAUAUCUCAAGAAGUGUUUGGCAACUCUGAGGAAUCAAGCUUCAAGAAACAACUUUAUGGUCUCGGUUCCUUCUUCGUUCUCGUAAAGCUAAUUGCUUAUGGCUUCGCUAUUCAAGCACAGACGUUUCCUUUGCAUGUUGCAA